AAUUUCAGAGAUACUAAUCCAAGAGAUGGCGGAUACGUUUUACAAUCACGAAUCUUGUAUGAUCACUAACCAUUGGAACAAUAAGAGUAUAUAAUGAGUAUAUCACCAUUUAGUUCUAGUGGGUGGUGAUCAUAUAAGAUUGGUAAUGGUAACAGUGAAACAUAUCCCCCAUCUAUUGGGAUUAAUUAGUC